rnacentral:rRNA from 1 species
UGGGGAAUAUUGGGCAAUGGGGGAAACCCUGACCCAGCAACGCCGCGUGAAGGAAGAAGGCCUUCGGGUUGUAAACUUCUUUUAGCAGGGACGAAGGACGUGACGGUACCUGCAGAAAAAGCAACGGCUAACUACGUGCCAGCAGCCGCGGUAAUACGUAGGUUGCGAGCGUUGUCCGGAAUUACUGGGCGUAAAGGGCGUGUAGGCGGAGCUGCAAGUCAGAUGUGAAAUGUCAUGGCUCAACCAUGGAACUGCAUUUGAAACUGUGGCCCUUGAGUAUCGGAGGGGCAAGCGGAAUUCCUAGUGUAGCGGUGAAAUGCGUAGAUAUUAGGAGGAACACCAGUGGCGAAGGCGGCUUGCUGGACGACAACUGACGCUGAGGCGCGAAAGCGUGGGGAGCAAACAGGAUUAGAUACCC